CGUCCUCAAUCCUAAAACACCUGGAAGCCAAAGGGAAAGUCCUAAUGGGACCUGGGUGUUCCCUGAGGGGUCCAAAGGGGAUCUCCUGGAGUCAGAGUGGCCAAGUUCCCUGAAGUUAAACAGUUGACACAGACAAAUAUCAACAGACACUCCCGGAAACAUGAAACCAACAGUCAACUAACCAACCGACGACAACAACAAAAAACGGUCUUUUCAACAGAUGACAUUUGGCAAUGUCUGAAGACAUCGUUGGCUGUCACAACUGGAGGAGAGAUGAAGAAUCUGAGCUUCAGGAAGGUUAAGUGACUUGCCUAAAAUCACAGCGGUUGGGCGCCUCCCUUUGGAGCAUGAUUCUGGGGUCCCGGGAUCGAGUCCCACAUCGGGCUCCCUGCGUGGAGCCUGCUUCUCCCUCUGCCUGUGUCUCUGCCUCACUCUCUCUGUGUCUCUCAUGAAUAAAUAAAUAAAUCUUUGAAAAAAAAACUAUUCAAAUUUAAAA